CCGGAAAAUGUUGAGAAGAGAAACGACAGGGGUAGUGCAAUGAAAUGUGUGACGAGAGGAAUGAUGUUUGAAGAAAAAAAAAAACAUUUUACAUUAAAAAAGAGGGAGAAGAAGAAGUAUAUGUGUAACGGCAGACGGAUGUAAAUACAAGAAAACCUCUAUCUUAUAUUAAUUUUCCUUUAUUUUUCUCUUUCUGAACCUAGAAUCAGGAGAUAAAUGAGAUUAAAGUCCAAAAGUUUUUAGUUAAAGAAAACUUUGAUUUGGGUAAAUAAUUUUGUUUUUUGUUUUGGAUUUUAAGUCUCUCAUCUCUUUGUUUUAAUAUGUAGUCUUGAAUUUGUCAUAUGUUUCAUCGGUUGAAAAAAAUAUUAAUAACUUAUAUCUAAAUUUAGUCGGUGUGUUUAUUAUAUUAAUAAGAUAAUAAAGUAAAUAAAUAAUAAUUAUAUUAUUAUUAUUAAUAUGAUUUAAUAUGUUGA
rnacentral:lncRNA from 1 species